GACGGUAGGAUGGGCUAGACAUUCUCAGAAAUAAUGAAGGAGAAAUGAGGUGCAAUAAAUCUCUGAAGUAAGGGGAAAAUUCCUACAAGCAAUAACUCUCUAAAUGUACUUCUUGCACACAAUUGGUACCCUUAUAAAAGAAAGGGCAACAGGGCCGUUGGUUCAAAAAUCGAAGAGGCACCACUCUUCGGAUUUCAAAGAGGCACCACUUUCCAC
rnacentral:lncRNA from 1 species